rnacentral:rRNA from 1 species
CCGGCGACCGGCGCACGGGUGAGUAACGCGUAUGCAACCUGCCCGUUUCAGCGGGAUAACCCGGAGAAAUCCGGCCUAAUACCGCAUGUGGCCGAGGGGAGGCAUCUUCUUUCGGCCAAAGGAGGCGACUCCGGAGACGGAUGGGCAUGCGUGACAUUAGCUAGUUGGCGGGGUAACGGCCCACCAAGGCGACGAUGUCUGGGGGUUCUGAGAGGAAGGUCCCCCACACUGGUACUGAGACACGGACCAGACUCCUACGGAAGGCAGCAG